GCCCAUGUAGCUCAGUUGGUAGAGCACAUCCAUGGUAAGGAUGGGGUCGCCGGUUCAAAUCCGGCCGUGGGCU
rnacentral:tRNA from 1 species